GUUGUGGCUUAGUGGUAGAGUGCUUGCCUUGCAUGUGUGGGGCACUGGGUUCGAUUCUCAGCACACA
rnacentral:tRNA from 1 species